rnacentral:lncRNA from 1 species
AAAAGCUAAUCGAUAACACAAACAAAAGUUAUGCCUUCCUGUUUACAUUACUCAGGUCCCAUAAUCUCAUUCCCUUAAGUCUAAGGUAUUUUAAAGUUCCAACAGCUUAGAUUUUGAAUAUCUUAUUUUCACAGAAACUACAGGGCAAUAAGGCACCAGAGUCCCAGACUCAGGACCACUGUGUGUGAUUCACCGUGAACACUGGCAUAUUAAAGGCUCUGAGAAGUCCUGUAGGAAAGGACAAUUUGAACUUUGUCUGAGCUCAUACUUUCCAAUCCCAUCUGACCUUUAGUUCUUCACUGAGUGCCCACUGGGUUAUGUUCUGGGAGCUGAGGCCACAGCAGUGAACAAAGCACACAAAACCCCCUGCCCCAUGGGGCUCCGUUCUACUGGGGCCAUUUAUCAUCAAACAUCUAUUAAUAUCUCAAGAAUGUGCCCAUCAGGACACCAUCCAUGCUGCUGCGCUUUUCCAGGCCACACAGAGGGGACACCCUCCAGGUGCACCCUGCAUGAAUAUCAGGCUCAACCGUGCUUUCAGGGUAGGAAGCGGAGGGCAUUUGAAGAGUCCUUUCCCUUCCUUCAUUCAUUUGUUGUCUCCUUGAAUAAAUGCUGUUGAAAACCUA